GGGCGCGUAGCUCAGCGGGAGAGCAUCGUCUUCACACGGCGAGGGUCGCUGGUUCAAUCCCAGCCGCGCCCACCA
rnacentral:tRNA from 1 species